AAGUGUGUAUUGUAUGGCCGCCAAUUUGCAGAGGCGUGGACUCGUGAGCUUAGGGAAACGAGUUGUGAACCAGAUCAGCUACGCUAGUGGUCGAACUUCUGCUAACUCACCUUCACUCUCUGGCAGGUAUUACUUCUAAAUUUCUGUCUGUAUGUUGUUUUGUCCUUUUACGGCUGCUUAUUUACCUAUUGAUCAGUGUUUGCUUU
rnacentral:lncRNA from 1 species